GUGUCUCUUGAUCUACUUAUUUAUAUUUUUCUUCGAGCCGGUCUCUUCUCGGUGACACGAUGCAGGCGUCUUUUCAAAAGCACAACCAAGCCGAGGCCAACAACGGCGCCAUGGGCACAAGGAGCAAGCGUGCCCAGGAUGUGUUGAUCGGCGGCCGCUUCCGCAUUCAGGAGCGCUUGGGCGGUGGCGCCUUUGGUGAGGUGUUCAGAGGUGUCGAGUUGAACAGCGGCCACCCUGUUGCCAUGAAGAUGGAGCUGACAAAGGAUGGCCAUCGCUCACACCUCAAUCUGGAGAACCGAAUCUACAAAAAAUUCAACGAGUGCCCGGUGACUGUCGGCAUCCCGAAGUCCUACUACUGCGGUCGCGUGGGCGAUUACACCGUCAUGGUAAUGGAUCUUCUCGGCCCGUGCCUGGAUGACCUCUUUGAAGUGUGCCACCGCAAGUUUAGCUUUAAGACGGUCUGCAUGAUCGGCAUCCAGCUCAUUCAGCGGCUUCAAUAUCUUCACAGCGUCGGCUACCUGCAUCGCGACAUCAAGCCAGAGAACUUCGUCAUGGGCGUCGGCGCCAACUCCCAUAUCGUGUACGUGAUCGACGUGGGCCUCUCAAAGGCGUGGCGCGACUCUACGGGGAAGCAUAUUCUGUACGCGGAGGGCAAAUCGCUGACUGGCACGGCACGCUACGUUAGCAUCAACACACACCGGGGCAUUCAACAGUCUCGGCGCGAUGACCUCGAGUCCGUCUCCUACCUGCUUGCCUACUUCGCGCGCGGCAACCUACCCUGGCAGGGGCUCAAAUCACCAAAGAGGGAUGCACGCUUUGAGCGCAUUCGUGACGUCAAGACCGCCACGUCGCCGGCGGAGCUGUGCAAGGGCUAUCCCCGUCAGCUGGCCGAUUACAUCGAGUAUACGCGCUCCCUGGGCUUCGAAGCAGAGCCAGACUACAGCUACUGUGUGGGGCUGUUUUCUUCGGCGAUGGCGGACAUGGGGGAGCAGUACGACUACUGUUACCAGUGGAUCGACCGAAGCGAGGCCGAGGUCAAGGCCGCCUCCGACGCGCGGGGGUCCGCUCAUAGCCUGCGCACAUCUGGGGCACAGACCAGUGUUGCCGUUGGAGGCUCCAACCUCAUGACCUCCUCCGUCUUUGUGGGAGACAGCGCGGUGAACGAGAUGAGCAAAUCCCUUCUGAAUAGCAACUUUAUGGAAGAGAUCCAAGACUACUACGGCCUUAACGAUUACAUCUGAAUUUAACGCCGUAGGAGACAACGCUCUGCAGGUUCACGUUGAUUUACCAUGGUGUUGUGGCGAAUCGUUUUUUUUUUUUAGUGCUGACGAAACGAUGAUGGGAGAGAGCGACAGAGAUUGAGGGGGAGGAGGAGGAGGAGGGGCAGGGACGGACGUCGGAAAGACGAAGCUGAAGUGGCUCCUCAUCGUGGAGGUCACGCCACUGGUCGGGCGCGCAUCUUCAGAACGAACACGCCCGUAGAGGCCUCACUACCUUCUGUCGACUGCGAUUCUUUGCUGCUGCCCGGGUCGCUCUGUUCUUCAAGUGAAGUGUGCUUUCCCGCCUCUGCGCACACCCCAAGUCUUUCAUUGCUGCCGCAUUAUGCCGCUUGCUUCUGCUUCUUUCCGUGUGCAUGCGCUCGACCUUUUCCCUCUGUCCUCUCUUGGUCCCUGAUGUUCCCCUCCAUCGCUUCCCGAACACGCGCGAAGGCUUGCUGUGCUGUGCCCUCCAUGAUGUACGUCUCUUUGCCUGUAUUGUGUUGGCAGUUUGUGUUGUAUGUGAUCACGUAUCCUCGGUGGCUCUAUUUUUGCGUUUGAUGUGCAAUGCCGUGCUCCUCCUUGUGUGCUGUGGCGCACGCUUCCGUGCUAAGUGAGGUGCGGUGCUUUCUCUCUUUUUUUUUCGCCGAGGGCCUGCCAUGUAAACAUCCGUUUCCCGCGUGACUGUCAGUGACUGCCAGUUCCUGCCCCGUGUCUCUCUGUGCGUGUACCGCACGUGAAUCACCCUUAUGAUUUUUUUUGUCUUGUUUUGUGUGCUUCGGCUUUGCCUCGUUUCCAUUUACAUACGCGUCGUAUAAAUUUUUAUUUCGCAUAUUUGUUCGGAGGGUCUCUCUCUCUUUGCAUCUCCGCGCACCCGCGCCGAGAUGGAGGACGAGGCUCUUUCCGUAUGCUCUGGUUUACUGCCACUGCAAGCCAUUUUACACACCCUUUUCCGAUGUUCUCUUGAACUGUGUACAGCCGUUGUUGUCUUUGCCUCUGUCUCUCUCUUUGUGUGCACAGGCCGCUCUGUCGACGCGUCGCCGCGUGUUCUGUCCUGAACUUCUUCUGCUUCAACUCCACAGCCACGCCAGCUGACCAGACAUACUGCCCCUCUCCGCUUGUGAAGUUUUCGAAAAAAAAAUAGCACAAAUGACAACAACACACCAGCACAGCACGACAGCCGUGACAUCGUUUUAUGCUUUCCUUUCCCUUCCCUUCGCUGCACACCUUCUCGCUCAUUUAGGCGUCUCUUUCCUCGCAUUUCUAGCUUCGCUGGAGGUUCCCCUCCGACGGAUU
rnacentral:misc_RNA from 1 species